GAUGAAGAACGUAGCGAAAUGCGAUAAGUAAUGUGAAUUGCAGAAUUCAGUGAAUCAUCGAAUCUUUGAACGCACAUUGCGCCCCCUGGUAUUCCGGGGGGCAUGCCUGUUCGAGCGUCAUUUCACCACUCAAGCCUCGCUUGGUAUUGGGCAACGCGGUCCGCCGCGUGCCUCAAAUCGACCGGCUGGGUCUUCUGUCCCCUAAGCGUUGUGGAAACUUUCGCUAAAGGGUGUUCGGGAGGCUACGCCGUAAAACAACCCCAUUUCUAAGGUUGACCUCGGAUCAGGUAGGGAUACCCGCUGAACUUAAGCAUAUCAAUAAGCGGAGA
rnacentral:misc_RNA from 1 species